rnacentral:rRNA from 1 species
GACGAACGCUGGCGGCGUGCUUAACACAUGCAAGUCGAACGAUGAAGCCAGCUUGCUGGUGGAUUAGUGGCGAACGGGUGAGUAACACGUGGGUGAUCUGCCCCAAACUUUGGGAUAAGCCUGGGAAACUGGGUCUAAUACCGAAUAUGACCGAUACUCGCAUGGGUGUUGGUGGAAAGCUCCGGCGGUUUGGGAUGGGCCCGCGGCCUAUCAGCUUGUUGGUGGGGGAAUGGCCUACCAAGGCGACGACGGGUAGCCGGCCUGAGAGGGCGACCGGCCACACUGGGACUGAGACACGGCCCAGACUCCUAUGGGAGGCAGCAGUGGGGAAUAUUGCACAAUGGGCGCAAGCCUGAUGCAGCGACGCCGCGUGAGGGAUGACGGCCUUCGGGUUGUAAACCUCUUUCACCAGGGACGAAGCGAAAGUGACGGUACCUGGAGAAGAAGCACCGGCCAACUACGUG